rnacentral:tRNA from 4 species
GACUCCGUAGCUCAGCUGGUAGAGCAAUUGACUCUUAAUCAAUGGGUCGAGAGUUCGAAUCUCUCCGGGGUCA